rnacentral:rRNA from 1 species
UACGAAGGGGGCUAGCGUUGUUCGGAAUUACUGGGCGUAAAGGGCGCGUAGGCGGGAUGGCAAGUCGGUCGUGAAAAUCCCUCGGCUCAACCGAGGAACGUCGAUCGAUACUGCUGUUCUUGAGGAUUGCAGAGGAGACUGGAAUUCCCGGUGUAGCGGUGAAAUGUGUAGAGAUCGGGAGGAACACCGGUGGCGAAGGCGGGGUCUCUGGGCAAUUCCUGACGCUGAGGCGCGAAAGCGUGGGGAGCAAACGGG